CAGAGGUCCCGAGCGUUGUUCGGAUUCACUGGGCGUAAAGGGUGCGUAGGUGGUGAGGUAAGUCGGAUGUGAAAUCUCCGGGCUCAACCCGGAAACUGCAUUGGAAACUACCUUGCUUGAGGUUUUGAGGGGGGACUGGAAUUCUCGGUGUAGCAGUGAAAUGCGUAGAUAUCGAGAGGAACACCAGUGGCGAAGGCGAGUCCCUGGAAAAACACCUGACACUGAGGCACGAAAGCUAGGGGAGCAAACAGGAUUAGAUACCCUGGUAGUCCUAGCCCUAAACGGUGCUUGCUUGCUGUAAGUGGAAUCGACCCCACUUGUGGCGGAGCUAACGCGUUAAGCAAGCCGCCUGGGAAGUACGGUCGCAAGAUUA
rnacentral:rRNA from 1 species